rnacentral:lncRNA from 1 species
GCGCCGGGCAAGAAGCGGUGGGCGGCGCGGGGCAGGCCGACGGAUGCACGGCGGGGCCCAGCCUGGCUGUCGAGGCGAGGCGCAGCAGGGCCAGGUCGGCGCCCAGCUCCACGCUGCUGUAGUCGCCCGGCACCAGGAUGGCGGCCACUGCGCAGGCUUGCGCGGCGUCCCUGUCCGGCCCCGCGAGCGCGCGCAGCAGCACAGACCACUCGGCGGCCGGCGCCACGGUCCGGUUCCUGCGCCGAGGCCGGGCCCUAGGGUCGGACUGCGCCGGAGCCGGGGAGCAGGGAGGGGGCCCGAGGAGCAGGGGUGGGGCCUGGGGCGGCUGGCUUGGAGCGGGAGCCGGAGCCGGGCUGCGUGGCCUCUGCCCGGAUGCGGGGCACCUCUCGCAGGACCCGGCUCGGGGCGCAGGGACCUCGGAGCCGCGGGGAGGACCCAGGUGGAGGCGCACGUGCCACGGCCAGGCGCCCCCCAGAAUGCGGGCGGAGAGCUCGGGGCGCCCGAAGUCUGCAGUGCGGAGUUCCGGGAACCAGAGCCUACCUGGGGCCCAUUCCGGAGGCCCAGGACAGGAGCUGGCAGCCAGAGGAGAAGAUGCUGGUGACUUCCAGCCCCGAGUUUGCGCUCUGGACCCACCGCUCCCUUCCAGCCCCUUCCAGCCCCGCCAGCACCCGCACCGCGCCUUGGCCACCCUGCCUCUGCCCGGGACUUUCCCCCAGCGCAGCCGCCUUCCGCGAGACCCCGAGGGCUCUUGGGGUGGGACUGAAGGCUGGGAGACCAGGAGGCAGGCGCGGCUGGAGAGAGCCCUGGCUCUGUCGGUAAGGUCUCUCCCCCCCGCCCUCCCCCGCCGUCGGUGCUCCUACCCCGUGGCGCUCAGGCCCUCUCCCUCCACGCUUACACUCCUCCUCUGCCUCUUGAUGCCCUCUUCCUCCUUGGUGUCCCCUCUUCUGACUCCCUUUUCUCUCCCGCCUCACAUCUCCCUACACGGAAUCCGGAAUCUCGAUUCCCAGCUCACAGGUGCCAGCACGCGGCCCCUGGCGGCCAUCUGCCCCCCCCCCCCCUUACUGAGCAUCACAAGUGGGCGGAACAGGUGCUGGGACAGCUGUGGUUACUGCAGUUGCUGGCCAGGCUCUCACUGUUCCCCGGGCUGAACCUGGACUUACGGACUCAAGUAAUGGGGACUACAGAUGACAAUAUUGCCCUGUACAAGAAUAUCAUUAAAUAAGAAAAACUGCCUUGCUUUGGGCUUCUUUCUGCACAACUUAGUCAAGACUCCUUCUCCAAUAAGAAGUUCUCCAG